GGCAACUUAGCUCAGUUGGUUAGAGCGCAUGCUUCACAGAGUGAUUCGCAUGAGGUCGGCGGUUCGACCCCGCCAGUAGUCA